rnacentral:rRNA from 1 species
UGUGCUUAACAAAUGGCAAGUCGAACGAUGAACCGCUUUCGGGCGGGGAUUAGUGGCGAACGGGUGAGUAACACGUGGGCAAUCUGCCCUGCACUCUGGGACAAGCCCUGGAAACGGGGUCUAAUACCGGAUAUGACCGUCUGCCGCAUGGUGGAUGGUGUAAAGCUCCGGCGGUGCAGGAUGAGCCCGCGGCCUAUCAGCUUGUUGGUGAGGUAGUGGCUCACCAAGGCGACGACGGGUAGCCGGCCUGAGAGGGCGACCGGCCACACUGGGACUGAGACACGGCCCAGACUCCUACGGGAGGCAGCAGUGGGGAAUAUUGCACAAUGGGCGAAAGCCUGAUGCAGCGACGCCGCGUGAGGGAUGACGGCCUUCGGGUUGUAAACCUCUUUCAGCAGGGAAGAAGCGAAAGUGACGGUACCUGCAGAAGAAGCGCCGGCUAACUACGUGCCAGCAGCCGCGGUAAUACGUAGGGCGCAAGCGUUGUCCGGAAUUAUUGGGCGUAAAGAGCUCGUAGGCGGCUUGUCACGUCGGUUGUGAAAGCCCGGGGCUUAACCCCGGGUCUGCAGUCGAUACGGGCAGGCUAGAGUUCGGUAGGGGAGAUCGGAAUUCCUGGUGUAGCGGUGAAAUGCGCAGAUAUCAGGAGGAACACCGGUGGCGAAGGCGGAUCUCUGGGCCGAUACUGACGCUGAGGAGCAAAGCUGGGGGAAAAAAAAAAAAAGAGUUGGGAAUGUUU